rnacentral:rRNA from 1 species
ACUACGGGUGGCUGCAGUGGGGAAUAUUGGACAAUGGGCGAAAGCCUGAUCCAGCCAUGCCGCGUGUGUGAAGAAGGCCUUCGGGUUGUAAAGCACUUUCAGUGGGGAAGAAAGCCUUGGGGCUAAUACCCUCGAGGAAGGACAUCACCCACAGAAGAAGCACCGGCUAACUCCGUGCCAGCAGCCGCGGUAAUACGGAGGGUGCGAGCGUUAAUCGGAAUUACUGGGCGUAAAGCGCGCGUAGGCGGUCUGAUAAGCCGGUUGUGAAAGCCCCGGGCUCAACCUUGGAACGGCAUCCGGAACUGUCAGGCUAGAGUGCAGGAGAGGAAGGUAGAAUUCCCGGUGUAGCGGUGAAAUGCGUAGAGAUCGGGAGGAAUACCAGUGGCGAAGGCGGCCUUCUGGACUGACACUGACGCUGAGGUGCGAAAGCGUGGGUAGCAAACAGGAUUAGAUACCCGGGUAGUC